rnacentral:rRNA from 1 species
CCCCUGGACGAAGACUGACGCUCAGGUGCGAAAGCGUGGGGAGCAAACAGGAUUAGAUACCCUGGUAGUCCACGCCGUAAACGAUGUCGACUUGGAGGUUGUGCCCUUGAAGUGUGGCUUCCGGAGCUAACGCGUUAAGUCGACCGCCUGGGGAGUACGGCCGCAAGGUUAAAACUCAAAUGAAUUGACGGGGGCCCGCACAAGCGGUGGAGCAUGUGGUUUA